rnacentral:rRNA from 1 species
AUUGAACGCUGGCGGCAGGCUUAACACAUGCAAGUCGAGCGAGCGGCGGACGGGUGAGUAAUGUCUGGGGAUCUGCCUGAUGGCGGGGGAUAACUACUUGAAACGGUAGCUAAUACCGCAUACCCUCAGAUGUACCCAUAUGGGAUUAGCUAGUAGGUGAGGGAAUGGCUCACCUAGGCGACGAUCCCUAGCUGGUCUGAGAGGAUGAACUGCCACACGGGAACUGAGAAACGGCCCAGAGGCCGACGGGAGGCAGCAGUGGGGAAUAUUGCACAAUGGGCGCAAGCCUGAUGCAGCCAUGCCGCGUGUAUGAAGAAGGCCUUCGGGUUGUAAAGUACUUUCAGCGGGGAGGCGUUACCCGCAGAAGAAGCACCGGGUAACUCCGUGCCAGCAGCCGAGGUAAUUC